GACGAACGCUGGCGGCGUGCCUAACACAUGCAAGUCGAACGAAGAGCGACGGAAGCUUGCUUCUAUCAAUCUUAGUGGCGAACGGGUGAGUAACGCGUAAUCAACCUGCCCUUCAGAGGGGGACAACAGUUGGAAACGACUGCUAAUACCGCAUACGAUCUAACCUCGGCAUCGAGGAUAGAUGAAAGGUGGCCUCUACAUGUAAGCUAUCACUGAAGGAGGGGAUUGCGUCUGAUUAGCUAGUUGGAGGGGUAACGGCCCACCAAGGCGAUGAUCAGUAGCCGGUCUGAGAGGAUGAACGGCCACAUUGGGACUGAGACACGGCCCAGACUCCUACGGGAGGCAGCAGUGGGGAAUCUUCCGCAAUGGACGAAAGUCUGACGGAGCAACGCCGCGUGAGUGAUGACGGCCUUCGGGUUGUAAAGCUCUGUUAAUCGGGACGAAAGGCCUUCUUGCGAAUAGUGAGAAGGAUUGACGGUACCGGAAGAGAAAGCCACGGCUAACUACGUG
rnacentral:rRNA from 1 species